GAGACACUGACAAGCCGGCAGCACGAUGAUGAUGUCACUGAUUCUACUGCUGGCCACCCUGGGGCUCCUUGUUCAGGGUUCAUCAGGAGAAAUCAUCCUGACUCAGUCUCCUGGAUCUCAGUCUGUUGCUCCAGGACAGUCUGUCUCUAUCAGAUGUAAAGCCAGUUCAAGUGUUAGCAAUGACUUACAGUGGUACCUUCAGAAACCUGGAGAAUCUCCCAAACUCUUGAUUUAUAAUGCUCAAUCCCGUCAGUCUGGAGUUUCAGAUCGUUUUAGUGGGACUCAGUCUGGAACUGACUUCACUCUGACCAUCAGUGGAGUUCAGACUGAAGAUGCAGGAGAUUAUUAUUGUCAGCAGGAUUACAGCACCCCGUUCACACAGUGAUACAACGUCGUACAAAAACCUCCUCAGCUGGAGAGGAACUGAUCUGAAUGAACAGCUGCAGAAACCUACAUAAACAGAGACACUUUAGAAGUUUGACUGAUACUGAAGUCUAUAUAACAGAAUAAUGUCAGGAAAUACUGCUCAUACUAUAGUAAGAUAUA